rnacentral:rRNA from 1 species
GAUGAACGCUAGCGGCAGGCUUAACACAUGCAAGUCGAGGGGUAUAGUUCUUCGGAACUAGAGACCGGCGCACGGGUGCGGAACACGUACACAACUUACCUUCUGGUGGGGGAUAGCCUUUGGAAACGGAGAUUAAUACCCCAUAUUAUAUAUGAGCUGCAUGGUUUGUAUAUUAAAGAUUUAUUGCCGGAAGAUGGGUGUGCGUAUGAUUAGGUAGUUGGCGAGGUAAUGGCCCACCAAGCCGACGAUCAUUAACUGGUGUGAGAGCACGACCAGUCACACGGGCACUGAGACACGGGCCCGACUCCUACGGGAGGCAGCAGUAAGGAAUAUUGGUCAAUGGACGGAAGUCUGAACCAGCCAUGCCGCGUGGAGGAUGAAGGUCCUCUGGAUUGUAAACUUCUUUUAUAGGGGGCGAAAAAAGGGAAUUCUUUCUCGUCUGACGGUACCCUAUGAAUAAGCACCGGCUAACUCCGUGCCAGCCGCCGCCGUA